rnacentral:rRNA from 1 species
UGCCUUAGUACGGCGAGUGAAGCGGCAAAAGCUCAAAUUUGAAAUCUGGUACCUUCGGUGCCCGAGUUGUAAUUUGGAGAGGGCAACUUUGGGGCCGUUCCUUGUCUAUGUUCCUUGGAACAGGACGUCAUAGAGGGUGAGAAUCCCGUGUGGCGAGGAGUGCGGUUCUUUGUAAAGUGCCUUCGAAGAGUCGAGUUGUUUGGGAAUGCAGCUCUAAGUGGGUGGUAAAUUCCAUCUAAAGCUAAAUAUUGGCGAGAGACCGAUAGCGAACAAGUACAGUGAUGGAAAGAUGAAAAGAACUUUGAAAAGAGAGUGAAAAAGUACGUGAAAUUGUUGAAAGGGAAGGGCAUUUGAUCAGACAUGGUGUUUUGUGCCCUCUGCUCCUUGUGGGUAGGGGAAUCUCGCAUUUCACUGGGCCAGCAUCAGUUUUGGUGGCAGGAUAAAUCCAUAGGAAUGUAGCUUGCCUCGGUAAGUAUUAUAGCCUGUGGGAAUACUGCCAGCUGGGACUGAGGACUGCGACGUAAGUCAAGG